UUGAGCCGCUUGCGGUGAAAGCCGCCUGGGCGGUUCUGAGGGGCCCCGGCGCAGAACUACGCCGGAGCUACCCGAC
rnacentral:ncRNA from 1 species